rnacentral:rRNA from 1 species
GCAUAACUAUCAACCGAUAGUUAUAGGAAAGAAGUUUAUUAAGAAAAAGAACAAAUUUUACAAUUGUAGAAAUCGUAAGAUUUUAACAAGUAAUCAAUGAAAAUAUCUGAUCUAUCAACUAGUUGGUAGUAUAGAGGACUACCAAGGUUAUAACGGAUAACGAGAAAUUAGGGUUUGACAUCGGAGAAGGAGCUUUAAAAAUGGCUACUACUUCUAAGGAAGGCAGCAGGCGCGUAAAUUACCCACUUUUAACAUAAAGAGGUAGUGACGACAAAUAACUCUUUUAAAGC